GUACCUUCCAUGCAAUAGAAGAAUUUACCUUUCUUCAUACGAAUUCACCAUCUGUAUGGGCAGAUGAAUGAGAGGCAGUUUAAAUCUAGCAUCUUCCGAAUUUUUAGGUUCACUAGACUAGAGACUUAUUUUUGCCAUCACAAAACCAAACUGGCCGCUCCUAACAAGUAUAAGAGAAAAACCGAAGAGUGCUCCAAGUCAAAGAGAGGAAAAAGAGGGGUAGCAUGUCUAUCUUGAAGGAUCGAAUAAGGUUAAACCACG
rnacentral:lncRNA from 1 species